rnacentral:rRNA from 1 species
UACGGGGGGAGGCAAGCGUUGUUCGGAUUUACUGGGCGUAAAGGGCGCGUAGGCGGGAUGGCAAGUCGGUCGUGAAAUCCUUCGGCUCAACCGAAGAACGUCGGCCGAUACUGCCGUUCUUGAGGGAUGCAGAGGAGAUUGGAAUUCCCGGUGUAGCGGUGAAAUGUGUAGAGAUCGGGAGGAACACCAGUAGCGAAGGCGGCACUCUGGGCCGGUACUGACGCUGAGGAGCGAAAGCGUGGGGAGCGAACAGG